GACGUAGGGCGCGAGCGUUGUCCGGAUUUAUUGGGCGUAAAGAGCUCGUAGGCGGCUCGUUGCGUCGGCUGUGAAAACCCGCAGCUCAACUGUGGGCUUGCAGCUGAUACGGGCGGGCUGGAGUUCGGUAGGGGAGACUGGAAUUCCUGGUGUAGCGGUGAAAUGCGCAGAUAUCAGGAGGAACACCGGUGGCGAAGGCGGGUCUCUGGGCCGAUACUGACACUGAGGAGCGAAAGCCAGGGGAGCAAACGGG
rnacentral:rRNA from 1 species